UGAUAACAGAUUAAUAGCUCAAGGAUUAAUAAACAAGUAAUAUGGAAGGAAGAUACAAGGAAGGGUUUUUGUCUCUGUGUUGGAAAUGGCACAGCAGCUAGCUGGUCAGAGAUGAAGGUGAAGAGAAAUUUAGAAAGGGUGCAAGGUGACGAUUGCAGAAAUGAGGGUGCGGUUUCUUACUUUGGACCUCGUUAAUAAUCCAUGAAGGUUCCCGUAUGCAUAAGUCUUUGGGUCCCUUCAACUGUGAAGGUCUUCCUCGUUGAAACUUGAAACUCGUAAAUUCUCAUAUUUUAUUUAUAUGUUUUUAUAGUAAUUAUGUCACAAUUAGUCAAAUUCAUGGAAGAACAUGUCCUCAAUAACAUGGCUAUAACAUUACUAUGGCUGCAGAUCCUUUCCCUGUUCUUUAUUUUUUUUACUCGGGCUAACUUUAAAUUCACCAAAUCACAACUCUCCUACUCCUACACGUUUAAUUUUAUAACUAAAUUAGCUAAAAAAUCGAGUUAGAAGGUCAAUGAACACCUUGCCAAGUUUGAAGUUUAAUAAUAAUAAUACAAGAUAAUGAACAUUUUACUCGGUCGUCGGGAAUGGGCUUCCACCGAACAGUUUGAGACGAGAUGGGCAGGCACAGGAGUUUCGAGAGCUGUCUUUAUCGGGAAGUCUUGAGGGAUAUGCCCGUUAGUUACAGAAAAAGGAGGCAUCAUGGUAAGAGAGCAGAAACGCAAGAGAAGGAUCAUAAGAAUGGACUGGUCGGGUAUUAUUGUUCACGCGCUUUAUAGAAGGAGAUGCAAGAGAGCGUGGGCUGGUAAUGACGCGUCUACGCCCGCCCAUGGUCUUCUGCCUCAAGAAGCUCCAUAACAAAACAGACCCUUCGAGAGAGAGAGAGAGAGAUGGUAAAAGAAACCGUGAAGACUGGGUUCUCUUUUUUUGACACUUGACUUUUGCUUUGUCUGGUGCGUACCAUUUCGGUUUGCCUUGUUCUACCAUUUUUUAUUUUUUAAAUAUGUUAAACUUCUUAAAAUAUCAAAUCAUUACA